UUCAUUUACAGAAAACUGGCAAACCUGAAUUACGCCACAUCCAUCCUGGCGAGCUGCAGCUCUCCCUUAUUGUCGGAUGGAAACAAGCUACACUAUACUGCACUCCUAAGAGAGAAGCUAGAAUGUAUUUAUUGACAUAGCAUCCAUGUAAUGUAGUAAUUUAACAGCGACGUAACAAGACUCGAGGUGGCUGGUUACACUUAUUUACCGCAUAGGGGAUGGGACAAUGACACCACAGUGACUUCAUAGAGCUGAGCGGUGUGAAGGGCAGUGCCUGGGGGUGGAUGGCAGCACACCACCACAGGUACAAGUGCUGGCUUUGCCCAGCUCCCUAGUUUCCAGCCAUAAACCCGCAGUUCAGCUCAACAUUGCUCAGCAGAUUAUUCAUAAUGAGAACGGGUGCAAUAGCAGAAAUAACUUGUCCUAAUGGCACACCGGAGGGAAAUCAGGAAGGUUGCCGUCUGCUGAGCAGCUCACUCAACAAUUGCCUGGUAGAUUGACUUUGAUUACUUGUUGAUUUAACUGCGUUUCGGUGGCUGUUGGAAAGAAUAUCCUUGAAUGUCGUCAAGAAGACUCAACAGCUGAAGAGAGCAACCCGAGCCAUGAAACACAGACAGGCGAGGUGGGCUCUCCACGUGGCUGAGCGCCAGCUUCCAGCGCUCGGUCCAGGUCCCAGCUCUUAGAACUGCAAUUUGGCUUUCCUUCUUUCCCUCCCCUUGUCCUCCCGCUCUUCUCCCACACCUGAUUUCAGCUCACGCCCCAGGUCCGACGUGAUGGGGUUGUGCUGGUGGCCCACAUGGAGCCCCAGGGGGUUGGGAUUUCCAGCGAUGUCACGAAAUAAACUGUAGUCACAAGGGGGGGAGGGGGAGGGAACAACUGAAAAAAUAUAUUUAUUGGAGUAAAUAAAAAAAAGUUAACCAAAACCCUUUAUUGAUACAUUCUUGGAUAAUAUCACAAGAUCGAGAGAAUGGAAAGGAAGGGAGGAGGUCGCGGCAAAGAUUGGUUUCACUAAAUUGGCACAUAAGCAGCAAGAUUAACGAAAUUACUUAUUACAAACAGUAUAAAACAUACAUGCUUUGUAAGUCCUUACCACACUGGUCAGUCAUGGUGGGGCAUCAACAAAGAAAAACCUCAAGACAUGUAAAAGCCAUAUUCUUCCUUCCAAAUAUCAUAAGAAUUAUUGAAAUUAUUGCAAAAUAGUCAUAUACCUUAAAUAAAAUAACAAAAUAGAACACAAAUACAAAUAUCAAACAUAAAUUAUUAACAUGUACCAUAAAAUACAUUACUGGCAUGCAUUCCAAAUAUCAAGACCUGUACUAAAACUCAGCAAAAAUCCCAUUUGCGUCCUCCGCAGCCAUCGACGUCGGGGGGGCUAACCUCGCCAGCACAGUUUUUGGUCUUUAAAUUCUUUUUUGUUUGUUUGUUUCGUUAAAAAAAAUAACGUAUAUGGAUUGCGGUGAUACAAUAGCAAUCAUACAAGUCAUGUACAUAGGUCUUUUAGAUCCUUAAUUUUUUUUUUUUUUUUAUGUGCUGUCUCAGAGAAUAGGGCCUCAAUGAAACUGUGCAUUCAAAAAAACAGUGACCUCGAAACAACAUGGAUGGCAAUAUGCAAAAAUCCUCACAAACUGUACAGAAAGUUCAAAAACUUGCAGUCUGGAAGUACAUAGAAAGACAGAACAGCCCCUGUGAGUCCUCGCAGUGCCGGGGAGCGCUCCUCCCGUGCCGUGGGCUCGGCAGCUCCGUGGCGGAGCAGGGCCAGGCCGCGGCCCCAUGCCCGCACCUCCCGCGCCCAGGCCACGCCGGGCACACGGAGCGGCCGUGGGCAGCAGCUCCCGGCGCGGCCCGGCCUCUGCUCGCGGCGGGGCCGGCUGGAGGCCUGUGCCCGCAGCGGGUGGAAGUCCUCUCCGUCCUCACGCCUGUGGCGGAGCGGGCUAGAUAACCAGGUUGUUAUAACUGACGUACUUCUUUUUUGCAGCAGGGCCUGAAAGACAAGCGGGAAACAGUCACCAGAGCAGUCAGCAAAGGCCUCCGUGAGGAGACUUGUUGCUGUUCCUCGGGUUGGGAACACGCGGCCAAGCAGAGCUACAGCGGUGGCGGGGCCCCAUUGGCGCAGUCAGCAGUGAGCCCUUCCCUUGGGCCGGGCACCUGCUGAGAUGUCCUAACGAGAUGCCAUGCAAGAUUUUAGGAUUUUUUCCAACAAUUACAUUAUCACCAACUUCUUAUAUCUCCUGGGCUAAAGCUGGCUUUCUUGUGGAAAAAAAAUAGCGAUUCCUGUUCCAGAUUUAUGACUUCUGGGAUUUUUUCAAUGUGGGGAUCAAGGCACCAGCAUUCCUAAUUAUGGCCUUCAAAUUAAAUCUGUUUUCAAACAUAAAUUAGUAAAACCAGCCAGCACCUAUAUUGUGAACAAUGCUACGCAUUUCUGUCAGUAAGAGUUGCAAAUAUCUGCAGCUAAAUACUGAGCAAAAUGUGGUGCAAUACCCUGGCAACACUAACAGCUUAGGGACUUGGAUGGCAAGUUCUCCAUCAGGCACGUUAACAAAAACAUCACUGUUGAUAUGCAGAUUCUGUAACGAGGAUGUGACUACAUGCCCUGAGCUGACGGGGUUUUGUAUUGAACUGCAUUCAGUGACUAAAGAGAAGGCCUUCCUCCUCUCCUAAAGAACCUUCUUUAUAGCAUUACUCUGAAACCCCAUUUAUCUGUUCUACCGUGCUCUACACGAGAGUCAGUGCUGUUUGCUCAAUCAAGGCCUGAUCCUGCAAAACGCUGAUCUUCAAUUCCCAUUAACUGCUCUGGGGCGUGAAGGUGUUCAACACAUGGGAGGAUGAAACUCAUUAUCCUGCAAGACUAGACCGCAAAUAUCCAAUAAACUAUGGUAUACUAUUAAAUGCUGAAGAGAGGUAAAAUGCAAUUGGAAAAAAAAUGUAUAAUCAGGAAAUGAGUUGCAAAGUAAUUACAUGUAUUAUUUUGUGAUCUACUUCAGCUUUAUCCAUUACAUGCUCCAAUUUCAAAUAGCAGCAGAGUUCCUAUAAUAGAGAUUUUGAUACUCUCUGUCGCUGGUUCAUGUAACGUCACCCCUCCAUCGCUUACAGGGCUUUCACUCUACCAUCCAGCAACCCUGAAAUUCUGCUUAAUGAGUUUUCUCACAAAUUCUACCACAGCUCCUCAUCUCUCAUUUUCAAUGCGACAAUGAACCACCAGUGCCAAGUGAACUCAACUAAGAAAUAUUUUGAUAGUGUGUACCCCUGUAACCUCUCUGUGAAAAGACGAGCUCCACACAUCUCAGUCCUAGACAAUAAAAUUAUUUCUGGAACUGCUCUGUUUCAACAGAAAAAUGUAGUCGACAGAAGCAUCAUCCAUAAUUCUGAUAAAGCGAUCAAUAAAAGCUUCAUGGUAAUUCUAGGAGAGCGAAGAUGAUCUUCCCUGGUUCUUAAGACUGAAGAGAUCACAUCUCUCAUUGCACAGCUGGUGCACUUCACAGCUGCUCCUGCACUGACGCCAGUAACUCGGAGCCCAGCUGAAGCACGCCUUGCAGACAAGCUCCGGUCUCCAUAUGAAGACAUCAGGAGAGUGGCGGUCUAGCUCGAUAAUGAGUGUCAGCUCUUCAUUAUCAUUGGGCAAUUAGCACCAGGUACAGAUUUGAUUUUUUCUCAAAGAAAUUAAUUUACAUGAAGAUGAGGAAUGCUAAUGAAACAUCAGCAUUACCAGAACUCACCAUGCUUUAAUCCAUGAUACAUGAGCACGCCCUGUUCUUUAAGGGGAAAACAGAUACAGAUCUCAUUCACCGUGCUGCUGUUCGUGUUAAUAGAUGACGGCUUUCCAACACUGAAAACAGACUGUCCUCUCACAAGUAACAUAUACAUGGUAAUUAAGAUACAUAUAAUUAUGUCAACCUCAGCUGGCCGCAGACGUAGCUGUACUGGAGGCGAGCCAGUAGCUGUGUUACGCAGAACGCACAGUGCUGGACCAUACCUCCAGAGCAGAGGCACACACACCAACUGCAUCCCAUUUCCUGAGGUCAGUGCACAGAAACAAGCCAACAAGCGCUGCGAUAAACGUGGGCUGCUAGCUAUUUUUAAAUAUAGGCUGCCCUGUAGAAAGGAAACGUUCUGGAUACAGACUGACUGCUUAUUUGCAAAUAAACUGCUCUUGAAGAA